rnacentral:rRNA from 1 species
AAUCAACGCUGGCGGCGUGCCUCAGACAUGCAAGUCGAACGAUUUAAACGUUUCCUUCGGGGAAGAUAUAGAGUGGCGCACGGGUGAGUAACACGUAAGUAAUCUACCCUUGGGUGGGGAAUAACAUCGGGAAACCGAUGCUAAUACCGCAUAAUGCAGCGGCUUCUUAUGAAGACAGUUGUUAAAGCAUUUAUGUGCCUGAGGAGGAGCUUGCGGCAGAUUAGCAGUUGGUAAGGUAAUGGCUUACCAAGGCGACGAUCUGUAGCCGACCUGAGAGGGUGGUCGGUCACACUGACACUGAAUAACGGGUCAGACUCCUACGGGAGGCAGCAGUCGGGAAUUUUGGGCAGUGGGCGCAAGCCUGACCCAGCAACGCCGCGUGAAGGAUGAAGUA